UGUGUGGUGGUAAACGGAGGGGUUCUCGAAGUUUCUGUGGGGAACUCAGCCUUGGUGUCGCGCGGCCCUGUUGUAUCCGAUCAGCAAUGACGGUGCGGUUUGGCUUGCGUGUCUCUCGGGUGCAUUUCCCCCGCAGUUUACGGCAGGAACUGUUUGGAGCUCACCGAAGGCCCUGGGUGAAGUUGUUGGUUCUGCUAGCAGCCCCGGGUGUCCUGGCUUAGCACCAGACAGGUACGUGAGAGGACUCGUAUAGCGAGCAAUGCUCUGUUGCGGUUCUCAUCUCUCUGCCGAGUAGGUCGGCG
rnacentral:rRNA from 1 species